AUGGGCUUUAAUAUGCUCUUUUAUAUUGUUUUUCAGACUAACUUAUUAACCGAAGGCCCAGUGCAAAUUGCUAUUUUUUGCCUAUUUCAGUGUUUCGCAGAAAAGGAAUAUCAAACGGAAUCCAAACGGAAUGAAACCUUCGCGAGGCUCUUUCUUAGAACAAAUGCAAUCCAGGAGACUUGGAGUGGAAGUCAGAGAGGCAACGAGGUGGCCACGAGGCAGGAGGGCGUGCCCCCACCCUCAUGGGCCCCUCGUAGCUCCACCGACCUGCUUCUUUCGCCUAUAUAUACUCUGAUACCCUGA
rnacentral:rRNA from 1 species